rnacentral:rRNA from 1 species
UACGUAGGGCGCAAGCGUUUGUCCGGAAUUAUUGGGCGUAAAGAGCUCGUAGGCGGCUUGUCACGUCGGGUGUGAAAGCCCGGGGCUUAACCCCGGGUCUGCAUUCGAUACGGGCAGGCUAGAGUGUGGUAGGGGAGACUGGAAUUCCUGGUGUAGCGGUGAAAUGCGCAGAUAUCAGGAGGAACACCGGUGGCGAAGGCGGCUCUCUGGACCGAUACUGACGCUGAGGCGCGAAAGCGUGGGGAGCAAACAGG